GUGCUAACAGACAUUGCCCUGCUCCAAGGGCUUGCCCACGUGUCCAUGGAGGUCUCCUGCCUUGCCACGGCUGAGCCCCCAACACUGCAGGCAAGAAGCUUGGUAUCUGGGUCCAGUCCACUACCAAAUGCCAUUCACGAAUCAGCUGCAGACCUCAGCACACACCACACAGGACUACAAGUGCAGUUCAGUCCUGAAGAAACAGCAAGGUUUGCCAACUGCUGGUGGUGAAGUCUACCAUGGAAGUCGAAAGACGCCACAGGAACCUCAUGAGAAGUUCUUCGAGGCCUCAGUGGCCACGCUGGUCAGUCGGGCAACGACAAUGAACACAAUGGUGAAUCUGAGCCUGAUUGAGCUAAAGUUGAGCACACCAGGAAGGACUGUAAGGACCUGCAUCCACUGCUGCAUUCAACUACAAUGCCAAUGUCUCUAUUUCAUGGAAAAGCAAUCUAAGUUAAUAAGCAGGGAAGCUGGAAUUUAAAUCUUCAUGCUCUUUGUGUCUAGAGCCUGAGCUCUUAACGGUACUCAUAGAUGUAGUUAGCUUGAAGGGGUUAACGUCUUUAAUCAAUGAAUUAUCAACCAAUUAAUUAAAAACUAAUAAUUAAGCAGUUAACUAA